rnacentral:tRNA from 1 species
UUGAUAGAAGCCAAAACAGAGGCACAUCACUGUUAAUGAUGAAACUGAAUUCUUUAUUCCUAUCAAG